rnacentral:rRNA from 1 species
UACAGAGGGGGCAAGCGUUAUUCGGAAUUAUUGGGCGUAAAGGGCGCGUAGGCGGCUUUGCAAGUGACGGGUGAAAUCCCUCGGCUUAACCGAGGAACUGCCUGUCAGACUGCAUGGCUUGAGACCAGGAGAGGUGAGUGGAAUUCCCAGUGUAGCGGUGAAAUGCGUAGAUAUUGGGAGGAACACCAGUGGCGAAGGCGGCUCACUGGACUGGUACUGACGCUGAGGAGCGAAAGCGUGGGGAGCGAACAGG